UGCCGACGUCGAAUCGGUUUAAAACGCUAAAGGAAGGUGGCACUAGGUCGGUUCUCCGUUCUGAGGGUGGAGCGACUCUUCCAACUCGUCGCCGGCACGAGAAAACGAAACUCGCGCGCCGCCGAGGUGAAAAUUCGAUCGCGAAAAUUAGGGGGGGUAGGUCCGGGAAACCCGUUGAACCCCGGUCGUGCUAGGGAUAGGGAAUUGCAAUUAUUUCCCUUGAACGAGGAAUUCCCAGUAAGCGCGAGUCAUUAGCUCGCGUUGAUUACGUCCCUGCCCUUUGUACACACCGCCCGUCGCUACUACCGAUUGAAUGGUUUAGUGAGGUCCUCCGAUUGGACCCGGUCCGGGCGGCGACGUCCGAGCCGGCGUCCGAGAAGACGAUCUAACUUGAUCAUUUAGAGGAAGUAAAAGUCGUAACAAGGUUUCCGUAGGUGAACCUGCGGAAGGAUCAUUA
rnacentral:ncRNA from 1 species